UACGAAGGGGGCUAGCGUUGCUCGGAAUCACUGGGCGUAAAGCGCACGUAGGCGGGUCUUUUAAGUCAGGGGUGAAAUCCUGGAGCUCAACUCCAGAACUGCCUUUGAUACUGAGGAUCUCGAGUCCGGGAGAGGUGAGUGGAACUCCGAGUGUAGAGGUGAAAUUCGUAGAUAUUCGGAAGAACACCAGUGGCGAAGGCGGCUCACUGGCCCGGUACUGACGCUGAGGUGCGAAAGCGGUGGGGAGCAAACAGGGAUUAAGAAACCC
rnacentral:rRNA from 1 species